CCAUAAUUAAUAUUACACAUAUUGAACCAAUAGUAUUUAAUACAUAUGAAAUUAUUUAUAAAAUCAAUGCAUUUAUAAUUAAUAUUAAACUGAAAAUUGCAUUAAAAUCUUAAAAUGACAUUUUUUGUAUCAAGAAAAAUGUAAAAUAACACUCUUUUAGAAAUAGAGGGAGUAUUAAGUACAUAAAAGUGUACUAAAUAUUUGUUUUUCGUCAAAAUGAAUUUUAUUAAUAUUAGUGUGGAGAAGGUGUUAAAAAAACAAGUGUAAAGAAGUUACAUAAAAUAUAACAAAAAAGUUAUGAACAACACUGGCCGUAAGUUAAUUAACAAAUCAAUUGUUAAAUAAAAAUAUUCUCUUAUAUAAUAAAGCGCAAGUCGUCUAGCAAAUGAAAAUUAAACAUUUAGCAAAAAAAAAUUGAAUUUUUCUUUUCAUCUUCCUUUUUUUCUGGGGUCAAAAUAUGUCACAACCAACUUCCUUAUUUUUCUCAAAAUAAAUUAGGGGUGAAACUUGAGCAGAUUCUAAAUCAUUAGUUCAAAAUAAAUCAGCAUAUCCCUAAUUUUAACCUAAAAUUUUCAGCAGAUCCUAAAUUAAUGCAACACUAGAAUUAUUUACGUUAGUUUAUAUAUUUGAUAUGUUUUCUUCAUCUCCUAAAGGCAACACUAAUUUUCUUUUCUUCUUUUUGGUAUAAAUUAAAAUCCUUACUAUUUCUCAUACACCAUGAUCUCCGCACGUUCUUAAAACAGUUAUUUUUCUUUGAUAUAAGAGAGUUUUUUUUUUUGAUAACUCUGGUAUCUGGGCAGCCACAUUCCCAACUAUUCCCCGAAAAAGGUCCAGCGCCCCAACGGAAGGGAUGUUAAAUCCGUUGUGGCCAAGACUCGAAUCCGGGUGGCGGGCAGUACAGCUGUACCUCCUUUACCACCAAGCUACGAGCUCUUGGUUAAUAUAAGAGAGUUUACUCAACGAUGCUAUAAAAAUCAUCUCUAAUGCAUUUUCCUAAAUUAUUUGAAAUGGUUCCACUGAUUUUCUCUUUCUGAAAGUCUGAUGAAAUGUCAGUUUUAACAUAGAUCGAUAAAUUCUGAGCUCUAGCGAUCGUAUCAACACUCCGGAGUCUACAAUUCUAUUAUCUUGGUAAACAGUUGCAUGACAAUAGUCGCAGUGAGAUUUUUGUUUCACUCAAGAAGAAAAAGAAAAACGAAAUUUCUGCUGCAAAGCUUCCUACGAAAUUGACAAAUGAAAAUUAAGUUUCUUGACAGUAAGACUCAAAACACUCGAAGUCUUUAUGACUCAAAUGUCAACCAUACAAGACUACGCAAUGCCUAUCACAGUUCACAAUAACACUAAAGACCAUCAAAAGGCACAUGUUACGUACUUUUCUGCAGUAAAAAGUACUAUGUUUCGGGUGUUAAGAAAAAGGGUAUUAUGUUUCGAAAAUGGACUAAUUUGGUUUUCAAUUUGCUGAACAUGAUUAUUUUUUGUGUGGUGGUAGCAAUUCAAGUAAAUAAAGUAAGAAGUUCACCUGACGCACACAUACAAGACCGAGUUCAAUUUGAGACUUGAGUGGUAGAAGAACGAAAAGGACUCAUGUCUACUUUUAUAUCAAGACCUAAUUUAAGUGACAUCUUUUCUACCGUUGGUCCCAGCGCCAGGCAUGUGGGGGU